rnacentral:rRNA from 1 species
GUGACUCUACGGGAGGCAGCAGUGGGAAUAUUGCACAAUGGGGGAAACCCUGAUGCAGCCAUGCCGCGUGUGUGAAGAAGGCCUUCGGGUUGUAAAGCACUUUCAGUAGGAGGAAGGUAGUGUAGUUAACACCUGCACUAUUUGACGUUACCUACAGAAGAAGCACCGGCUAACUCCGUGCCAGCAGCCGCGGUAAUACGGGAGGGUGCGAGCGUUAAUCGGAAUUACUGGGCGUAAAGCGCAUGCAGGCGGCCUGUUAAGUCAGAUGUGAAAGCCCGGGGCUUAACCUCGGAAUUGCAUUUGAAACUGGCAGGCUAGAGUCUUGUAGAGGGGGUAGAAUUUCAGGUGUAGCGGUGAAAUGCGUAGAGAUCUGAAGGAAUACCAGUGGCGAAGGCGGCCCCCUGGACAAAGACUGACGCUCAGAUGCGAAAGCGUGGGGAGCAAACAGGAUUAGAUACCCUGGUAG